UCAGCUUUACUAACUUUUCAUUUGAAACCUGCUCAAAUUCAAGUUCUUAAAUUUUGUUCAAAAUGUGUAAAUUGUUGACCACUGUUGCCUUGCUGUUAAGCUCUAUCGGUCUCUCUUUCUCACUUCCUGUAUCUGUAUGCCGCUUGUUAUUAUUAAUAAGCCAAUGGAUUGCGUACUUACCUUCAACUUUAGCCAGUGCCAAAACGGAUAUCGUUUGUAGUGCGGGCACCGCCCAGGCAACCAAAUGGAAUAAAUGAGAUUUAUUUUCAAUUGCCUCGUGGCCCCAUUUGAGUCCAGCGGCCAGGAACCACGCAAAGGCCAAACACGACCACCACGCAAAGGCGGCCAUACAACAGAAAUACAAUGCCAUGAAUAAUACGGUGCAGGCGGUGGUCUGACGAUGACCCUGCGAGAGAAUGAGAGUGCCGAGAAGGAUGUUGGUAAAUAAAAAAUGGAAUUCGUUUCACCUGCUCCACCGCGGCUCGAACUUUGGCUUGACUUACCUGCGUUAUGGUGGACAUCAUCUGCAGGCGUCCCAGCUUCACUGGCGGCGGAAAUGGUUCACGGCACGACACUGAAUCGCCCGCACCAAGUCCGGCCACAUAGGCACAGCCGACGACC